CCGGACUCUUUGACCUGAAUAUAGUUUAUUAUUCCAUGGAGCUAAAGCCAGACAUGAAGGUCAGUCUGAUGUUAACACAGAGACGCAAAUCAUUCAAAUCAAUGUGAAAUAAAGCAGAAAGUCUAGAAGAGAUCGCAAACUGAACGUGAACUCUUUCAUCACCCACGAAUGUUUCCCCCGGAAAUCAGUCGGCUCAUGGAGGCGUCUGGAUGUUUCCUCCGCUCAUCAUCAUCAGACAGACUCCGUCAUUUACGUGAUUAUUGAAGAGCUGCAGGAACGUCACCAGGACUCUUUACCUCUGACCUCUGACCUCCAGGUAGAGAUGUUUCUAUCAGCUCCUCUGUCAACAACACGUCCUCAUACUGAAACCACUGCGUAGGUUUGAUUGCUAUUUCUCCCAGAAUGCACCAGUGACAGACCUGCAGGACCGUCCUCCUCCUCCUCCUCCUCCUCCUCGUCCUCCUGCAGCCUGCAUCAUAUUUCAUCUUCAACAAACCUCCUGAAUUAUCUCUGCUGCCACUAGAGGGCGCCGCCCAACAACAAAUGCAGACUGGACAGUCAGUCCAGUAUUCAGUCUUACUGUUUGUAUAAUACAGCAGAUUAGAUUAGA